GACAAUUUCAGAUUUUAGAGUCGGCCAUGAUUGUUUAUAGUGACGAUAGUAUUUGGAACAAGAAAUAUCAACUUUAAUACUUUAAAAUAGUAGUUGAUACAAUGUCUGAGAAGGAAGAAGGAGAAAUUAGUGAUUCGGAUGCCAACGAUGCCCAGGAUUAUUUUGAUAGAUCAGUUUAUAGCGAUAUUUCUUCAGACGACAAUUGUCUAACGAAAUGCGGGGUUCACGUGGCUGGGCUGGAUAGAAAUUCUAACUCAUUUGCAAAUAUAAAAGAUCAAUCAGAAAGUAAUGGAUUUGACGAUGGGAAUUCCUCAAGUUCUGUAGGUACAGAAGCACACUUCCUUUUGGAAUAUCAAAGCAUGGAGAAAAAGCUAGAUGAUAUUGAGCAAGGGCUGACUGAAGAAAAGGAUGUAGUUGAUAAAAUAUUAGCAUCUUCUUGUCAAACAUCUGAUGGAGAAAUCACUGACUCAACUAUAUCUUCCAUCGAAUCAGAUGACUCUGAGGAUGAUAUGAAUCUUCUAAAACUACGAUUUAAGGCUUUGCAAUCAGCAGUUAAAAUAAAGGCAAGUGAAAAUCUCAGUAAGAAGAGACGACUACCAUCCCCACCGAGACAUCGUCAUUAUUUUCAAAAAUCUUCAACUUACAGAAGGGGAGAAAGUCAUCGUCAAAGCAAGAUGUUAAAAGUUUUGAAACUGAAAACUCACGAAGACCAAGUAAAUGCUUUUUUAAAGUUAAUGGGUGAAUCAAACAUUCGAUCAGAUAAUUGCAAUUUAGAAAAGCAUUUAAUUAAUGCUACGGAUCAGAUUGAAUUCAUUCCCGGCUUAACGUUGAUUGAUCAAAACUCUAUGACUUCUCACUUGAAUACAGAAUCAAUGGAUAGCGUAUUUCCGCAACUUAGCUUCCAAAAUCGAAAUGAUGACAAAAAUAAUCAUGCAGUUUUUACGUAUCCCAAUAAUCUGAAAUCAGAUCAAUUUGUUAUUUUUGAAAAGAAAGACUGUGAACAGGAGGGUCUUAGCUCAGCGGCAAAUUCUAAUGCGAUUAAUGACAAUAUAGAUGAGAAAAUAAAUACUUUGCUUGAAGAUGUCAGAAAAGAGAGUCUAGAUACUCCAGAUGUAGAAAAAUUGUCAUCUAACAGUCAAGAAUCAUCUCGAGUAACUUCUCCUAGCGGAGAUAUAGUACUAGAAGAAGUCGAAAAAGAGGAAAGAGAGCGAGAAAAAGAAGCGGCAAACCUUCGCCGUGAAAUUGACCUUCUUCAAGAACAGAUUUUAAGAGAAAAUCUUGUGAGGAAGCAAGCAGAGAGACAGGCUUUGGAAAAGAAAAAACAAGCUGAGAACUCAACAAAGAAAAAUGACGAUAUUUUGAAAAAAAUGAGAGAGAAUAUUUUAAAUCGAAUGAAUUCCAAAACGACAACGGGAAAAACGAUUAAAAAGAGUGCCUCCUCUCCUGCAUUCCUUAAACAACUCUCUAAAACAAAAGAAAUUGUUAUUAAAUUGGGAGAAGAUUCAACUAGUAGUGAAAGCGAUUCAGAUUUAGAGAAACGCAAUUUAAGUAAUGUGAAUAAACAAGAAUUAAAUGAGAAAACUCUGGGAAAUUGCUCAAACGUUUCAACGAAGGCUAUUCUUCAAGAACAUCGUUCGCUACGGAAAAGAACUAUUGCUCAAACUGAAACUCCAUUGAGAAAAACUUGCUCCCCAAUACAGGAAACAAACGAGACUGACUCAAUAAAUCUUAUAUGCAAACAGGUUCUAAAUGAAAUAAUCGAUAGACUGAUACCUGCCAAACCGAGAAAAUGUAUUAGAAAAUUAUCAAAAGUAAAAACCAAGUCUUCAAAACCUAAUCUAAAAUUGAGUAAGGUCUUGGAGAGAAAACUAGUGGCGGUAGAAGGUGAAUGGAAAAAACAGAAGUUGCUGAGACUAAAAUAUAAAAUGCUGGAGGAACGUAAGCGAACGAAGUUGGAUGAACAAGAGCUGACUUCUGUAGGUAACUUGAGAGCUCAGCGCCGAGCCACAAUUUUAAAAGAAAAAAAACGCUUAAAAAAAUUGGAAGAACAGCUAGCAGUAGCCAAAAGGGUGAUAACUACCAGUGAAGAGCAACUUUCAGAGUUAGACAAAAAGUUACAAGUAAUUCGAGAAAGAUUAGCUACUAGGCGUAGUAACGAGCUCUCACUUCGUCAAGAAUUAGAAACUUUAGUAAAUCAACCUAAUAGUGCUUUAAGAAAAAGUGAACCUGAAAAAAUUAAAGAGUACACCUUUGACGAUGUAUUUGGUUUGAAAGAAGAAACGAUAAAUAUCUUAAACAAACAACUAUCCAACGGAAAUUCUGAAAAUACCAACAAAUUAUAUAUGCAGUUCAUGAGUAAACUUCCAAAGGAAUGUUCAAAUGUUGUAAUUGGAUAUGAAAAUAAACAUCCUACAAUCACUUUUUUAAAUUUCUCUUCCGAGACUGAAAAAAAUACCCUGAACAAAAAAAUAGGAACUUUUUCUACUGGAAAAUUUACAAUAUAUGACAGCCCUUUGAAAGCUUUCAGACUAUAUAGAUUUAAAGAUCACAGCAAGUUGAAUAGCUCAAUAUACUCUUACUAUCAUUCUGCUGAUAGGAUUUUAUGUAGAUAUCAUUUGAACGGAAAAUGUCAAGAUGAAAAGUGCAAUAACCUUCACUUGGCUGAACCAUCUAUCAAAGAGAUACUACUUGAUUUAGUGUCUUAUGUACCGACCAUUGCUGGAGUCUCACGUACAACCCCGACUAAACAAAUUCCGAUGAUCCUAGAAAACUAUAUCGUUGAUUUUAUGAGAGACAAACAAGAGCUGAACAAGGAAGACUGCCUAGCUCUGAUGAUGCGUUUGAUAAAACAAAAAGUGCAAUUUUCUUCAGUUUUUGACCUCUCUAGAAAGUGGAAUCCGUUUGAAUAUUUAAAAGAAACUUCAGCCGUUCAUAGCUUGAAAUUAAAUUGUGAAAAUGACAAGGCAGAAAAUAAAAGGGUCAAAAAGCAGUAUGAUCUGGUUACAUUUGAUCAAUUGUGCAAUAAAACAGCUUCAGAUAAGAAAGAAUCUGUAAGAGGAUUUCAACAAGAAAUUGAAGAAACAAUUAAUUCUAAGGAUAUUCGUUAUUGGUUGAAUGACAACCAAAGUUGCAUUGGCAAAGAAUUAGAAAGUGCAGUAAAAACUGAAAAAAGUAACAUAUCAUUAUGGUUAAGAUUCGCCUAUUCAAAGUUACAUGAUUCCAAUGGUGCUGAUUAUGAUUCAGCCUUAAAAAUUCUUGCAAAAGCCAUUCAAACGAAUGAAAAAGAAUCCUUAUUAUGGAUUCAUUACUUAACCCUGUAUGAAAAAUCUGAAAGACAAUCCAGUCUAAAAUUGGUGUAUCAAAUGGCUUUGAAAAAAGCUCCAACAUAUAAUAUUUGGUGGAAAUAUUUGAUGAAGCAGAAAGGAGUUGAAGCUGUAUGUGAAACUUGCGAUAAAAUUAUUGCUUUCAUAAUGGGGAUGGAAAAAAAUGAUAUAGCUUCUCAUUAUUUACUAGAAGUUACGAUUUAUAAGGCGACAAUUUUGCGACAAGCUGGCUUAUACAAUGAAGCUUUAAAAUUUUUGGAUAAAAGUCGCUUAAACAAAGAUAUAACCACAAUCAUGAAUACUGAAGAUUUAUCUGUUUUACUAUUUACCUUUAUAUACCUUGCUGAAUUUUCCACGAUACCCAGUGCCUUUUUUGAUCCUGCUCAAUCGAUACCAUCAAAAAUUGUAAGAAAGACAGCUUUAUAUAUGGCAUGGAAAAGCGGAACUAAGAAAACUAAAUUGAAAGUUUCAACUCUAGACUCGUUAUUUAAACAAGCAUUUGUGCGACUAAAAGGAAGGGAACUUAAGGGAGAUAAUUGUAUCAAUCUUGCCUUUAUCGACAAAGAAAUAGUUUUGGGAAAAACAGAUAAGGCAAAAAUCUUUGUUGAAACAAAAAUCAAAUCAGAACCAAAUUGUGUCAUUCUAUGGAAAUAUUUGAAAAAGAUAUGUUCUAUAACGGGAGAAAGUUUCUGCAGUGACUUCGUUGACCUAGAAUGUGCAAGUUCUGAAUUAACUUUCUUCUUAGCUAUUUCUGUCGAAACGAAAGAAAACGCAUUAAAAAUUAUUGAAGACUACCCAAAAAAGAUUUUAAAAAAUCCGGUACAAUGUGAAAGAAAUAUAGUUAUACACUGUUACUUAAAACUUAUCAAAGAGCCCCUUCCUCUUGAUGGAGAUUUACCAGAACUGAAAAAUUUUAAAACCGAAGAAGACGAUCCCUUCACAUGGCUCUGCUAUUGCUAUUAUUUACAAGCAAGUGAGUUCAAUUUUGAAACAAUCAAAGAAGCUUUUGAGUGUGCGUUGUGUCGAGUUAAGGAGAAAAAUAGCUACCUAAUUUGGAAAAGCUAUCUGAAAUUUAUAAAUGAAAAUUGCCCCAAAAAACUGUGGAUUAUGGUUCGUCGUUGUCUUGCGAGCACGUCUGUCAAUAUCAAUUUUCCGUAUUCAAAUCUUACGUUUUUGGAUUGUGACGGUCAAAACGAAAUUUUCAACUGGUUGUUCUCGAAUUUGACAACAAACGACGUACUAAAAGUAGAAGAAAAGUUGAUUGAGUGGAUGCCGAGAAAUCCCCAACUCGUUUGCAGGUUACUGAAAAAUUAACAAAAUUUUCUUUUAGUGACUGAUUUUUUUAGAACCCUACUGGAUUUUUGGAAAAAAAGAGAUAUGGCUUCUGUUCGGGCAAUUUCACAAAGAUCUUUACUUCAACUACCUAAUUGCCUUCCAAUUGCCUUAUUUCUCGUCGCAUCUCUUCACGAAGAAAAGAAAUAUUUACAGGUAAGAUAUAUUAUUAAAAAUUCUUGCAAAACAUAUAUUUAGUCAUAGCUAUCAACGAGAGGAGUUGUGUGUUAAACGUUUGACAGGUUAAGAAAAUUCUUAGUCGCCUUUCUACGCAGUUUCCUCUGAAUGAAGUGAUAUGGAAACACGUGCGUUGCUAAAGUUAACAUUCUUAGAGAUAUUUUAGAUCCCAACAAUUAAAAAAUUUUAGGUCAUCAUUUGUGCGCUGUGGGCCAAAGAUAAAAAUUGGAUAACAGAUACGGUGAAAAAGUGUAAAGAGUAUGGUAUAGACGUCGAGAAACAUGUCGUGUCAUCCUGUUUCGGAGUUGCUUUGAAAAAAGUCGCUCGUGAAAAAACAGGUGAGUAGCCUUCUAGUUUAGGAAGUAAAAAUUUCCAACUUCAAAAUUCAUUAUGCAUUCAAACUGUGGUGCUAUAACUUCUCCUUUAACGAAAAAACCGGUUAAAAAUUAUUUUUGGAUUAUUCUCUCUGCGGAUUUUACACAUUGUAAACGUUGAUUGAUAUUGUUGAAAUUGCUUUGUUCUAAUUGUCAUAUGUUAAAUUUUUUGG
rnacentral:misc_RNA from 1 species